CACGGUCCAAACUCCUACGGGAGGCAGCAGUGGGGAAUAUUGCACAAUGGGCGAAAGCCUGAUGCAGCAACGCCGCGUGGGUGAUGAAGGCCUUCGGGUCGUAAAACUCUGUCCUCAAGGAAGAUAAGGACGGUACUUGAGGAGGAAGCCCCGGCUAACUACGUGCCAGCAGCCGCGGUAAUACGUAGGGGGCUAGCGUUAUCCGGAUUUACUGGGCGUAAAGGGUGCGUAGGCGGUCUUUCAAGUCAGGAGUGAAAGGCUACGGCUCAACCGUAGUAAGCUCUUGAAACUGGGAGACUUGAGUGCAGGAGAGGAGAGUGGAAUUCCUAGUGUAGCGGUGAAAUGCGUAGAUAUUAGGAGGAACACCAGUUGCGAAGGCGGCUCUCUGGACUGUAACUGACGCUGAGGCACGAAAGCGUGGGGAGCAAACAGGAUUAGAUACCCUGGUAGUCCACGCUGUAAACGAUGAGUACUAGGUGUCGGGGGUUACCCCC
rnacentral:rRNA from 1 species